UACGUAGGGUGCGAGCGUUAAUCGGAAUUACUGGGCGUAAAGCGCACGUAGGCGGUUUUUUAAGUCAGAUGUGAAAGCCCCGGGCUCAACCUGGGAAUUGCAUUUGAAACUGGGAAACUAGAGUGUGUGAGAGGGGGGUAGAAUUCCAAGUGUAGCGGUGAAAUGCGUAGAGAUUUGGAGGAAUACCAGUGGCGAAGGCGGCCCCCUGGCACAACACUGACGCUCAUGCACGAAAGCGUGGGGAGCAAACAGG
rnacentral:rRNA from 1 species